CGGCGAGUAGCGCAGCUUGGUAGCGCAACUGGUUUGGGACCAGUGGGUCGUAGGUUCAAAUCCUAUCUCGCCGACCACUU
rnacentral:tRNA from 1 species